CUACGUGCCAGCAGCCGCGGUAAUACGUAGGGUGCGAGCGUUAAUCGGAAUUACUGGGCGUAAAGCGAGCGCAGACGGUUACUUAAGCAGGAUGUGAAAUCCCCGGGCUCAACCUGGGAACUGCGUUCUGAACUGGGUGACUAGAGUGUGUCAGAGGGAGGUAGAAUUCCACGUGUAGCAGUGAAAUGCGUAGAGAUGUGGAGGAAUACCGAUGGCGAAGGCAGCCUCCUGGGAUAACACUGACGUUCAUGCUCGAAAGCGUGGGUAGCAAACAGGAUUAGAUACCCUGGUAGUCCACGCCCUAAACGAUGUCAAUUAGCUGUUGGGCAACUUGAUUGCUUAGUAGCGUAGCUAACGCGUGAAAUUGACCGCCUGGGGAGUACGGUCGCAAGAUUAAAACUCAAAUGAAUUGACGGGGACCCGCACAAGCGGUGGAUGAUGUGGAUUAAUUCGAUGCAACGCGAAGAACCUUACCUGGUCUUGACAU
rnacentral:rRNA from 1 species